UCAUUAGUGGGAGUCACAGAGGUGAAGUGGGAAUGUGUCUUUGUGUGUGUGUCAGUUUGAUGGUCAGUGAAAUGAGAGUAUGUCUGUGUCUGAGUGGGCAGAUUGGCAGUGUGGGUUAAGUGUGGACGAACCGCUCGAUAGCAAACAGGAAAAGGAAACUAAAGACUAACAGGACCAGCUGCCCUGUGGCAUUGUGGGACUGAGAACACCAAUAUUGAUGAGGGGCCAGUUUAGUCCCAACCUCCCCUCUAUGUCUGCAGGUCCAGUUCUGACAAGAGGAUAUUCACUAUGACUAAUGGAAGCCUCUCUCUGCGUUCCGUCUCUCUGUAUACCACUCCUCCUUUGAGAUAGAUGGAAU
rnacentral:lncRNA from 8 species